UACGUAGGGGGCUAGCGUUGUCCGGAUUUAUUGGGCGUAAAGAGCGUGUAGGCGGCCAUGUAGGUCCGGUGUGAAAACUCGAGGCUUAACCUCGAGACGCCGGUUGAAACCAUCAGGCUAGAGUCCGGAAGAGGAGAGUGGAAUUCCCGGUGUAGCGGUGAAAUGCGCAGAUAUCGGGAAGAACACCCGUGGCUAAGGCGGCUCUCUAGUACGGUACUGACGCUGAGACGCGAAAGCGUGGGGAGCGAACAGG
rnacentral:rRNA from 1 species